rnacentral:tRNA from 1 species
GCCUUCGUGGUGUAGUCAUCAGCACGCUCGACUCCUAUUCAAGAGGUCCCUGCUUCGAAUCUCGGCGAGGGCA